UACGGAGGGUGCAAGCGUUAUCCGGAUUUACUGGGUUUAAAGGGAGCGUAGGUGGGUUGGUAAGUCAGUGGUGAAAUCUUCGAGCUUAACUCGGAAACUGCCAUUGAUACUAUCAAUCUUGAAUUAUCUGGAGGUAAGCGGAAUAUGUCAUGUAGCGGUGAAAUGCUUAGAUAUGACAUAGAACACCCAUUACGAAGGCAGCUUACUACGGAUAUAUUGACACUGAGGCUCGAAAGCGUGGGGAUCAAACAGG
rnacentral:rRNA from 1 species